AUUGAACGCUGGCGGCAGGCUUAACACAUGCAAGUCGAGCGGGGGAAGGUAGCUUGCUACCGGACCUAGCGGCGGACGGGUGAGUAAUGCUUAGGAAUCUGCCUAUUAGUGGGGGACAACAUCUCGAAAGGGAUGCUAAUACCGCAUACGUCCUACGGGAGAAAGCAGGGGAUCACUUGUGACCUUGCGCUAAUAUAUGAGCCUAUGUCGGAUUAGCUAGUUGGUGGGGUAAAGGCCUACCAAGGCGACGAUCUGUAGCGGGUCUGAGAGGAUGAUCCGCCACACUGGGACAGAGACACGGCCCAGACUCCUACGGGAGGCAGCAGUUGGGAAUAUUGGACAAUGGGGGGAACCCUGAUCCAGCCAAGCCGCGUGUGUGAAGAAGGCCUUAUGGUUGUAAAGCACUUUAAGCGAGGAGGAGGCUCUUUUGGUUAAUACCCAAGAUGAGUGGACGUUACUCGCAGAAUAAGCACCGGCUAACUCUGUGCCAGCAGCCGCAGUAA
rnacentral:rRNA from 1 species